UACAGAGGGUGCAAGCGUUGUUCGGAAUUAUUGGGCGUAAAGCGCGUGUAGGCGGCCUUGCAAGUCGGGUGUGAAAGCCCUCAGCUCAACUGAGGAAGCGCGCCCGAAACUGCAGAGCUUGAGUACCGGAGAGGAUGGCGGAAUUCCCCAAGUAGAGGUGAAAUUCGUAGAUAUGGGGAGGAACACCGGUGGCGAAGGCGGCCAUCUGGACGGAUACUGACGCUGAGACGCGAAAGCGUGGGUAGCGAACAGG
rnacentral:rRNA from 1 species